AGUCCUGGAAGUACAAGUGAAAAAAGAAAUCCUAUUUUAGCAUGAACAUGCACCUCCAAUUUUUUAGCUCUUACUAGCAGUUCCUGUAUACACAAACAUGUGAGAAGUCUCCAAAGAGAAGUUUCAGUUUUGCAAGCAAAAAAACAAAAACAAAAAAAACUAAUCACAUCGAAGAAAAGUAGGCACUGCACUUUCUAGAUGACAGUAUUAAUAUAUAAUUAUUUUAGAAGAAACUAUGAAUCUGUUUAAAUCCCCAAAGUUAAAUAACCUAAUCAGAUCACUUAGAGAAAUAGGUGCUUUUCGCUGCCCUGCCCUAAGAUCAUAUUGCUAUUUAACCUGCUUUUAAACAAACAAGAAUUUUUAAACAUUUUCUAUCCUUUAAGCAAAUGUUCUUUGCUUGGCUAAAUGACAAUGUUCAAGAAAUGCCUACCACAGAAGCAUAAAAAACCCCUGGCAACAUUCCAGAAGAAAUUCACCCCGCAUAAUGUGUUCCAGCUAAUGCUCAAUAGCUUUCGGGUGAACCUGCUGGCUCUGUGUGCCCUUGAACAGAAUCUGAAAAGAACAAAAGAAAAACUGAUAGACAUUUUCCCUUUUGUGAGUCUGGUGGAACUUUCCAAACUUCGAAAAAUGUACGGCUACCAUGAACCCGGCCCUGGGCUCUGAUGUAAACUUUGUUUUACUACCUUUGCUUCCCUGAAAUUCAACUAUAAUUAUAUUGUUUGUCUUUUCAUCCAAUAAAAUGUGCAUUAGCAUUUGGUCCUCUUUAGAGUGUAGUAUUUGUUUAGAUGAAUGUAUUCUUUCAAAUGAUUAGCAGUGCUGCCACAAUGAGAACGCUUUAGAUUAAACUCUUGAUAUGGUAUUAAAAGGAGGGAGAUCAGCUCAAAAUGCUUCCAAAGUGUGCUCAUAACUGGCUGAGGCUAUCGACUUUUCUAGAUAUGUAUGAGAAUUUCACCAACCGCAAAAGACUUUAAGAUGAAAUCCCUGGCCCUUUUAUAAAUGAAAAAAACAACACGAGAGUUCCUAUUGUGGCUCAGCAGGUUAAGAACCCAACUAGAGUCCAUGAGGAUGCAGGUUCAAUCUCUGGCCUCGUUCAGUGAGUUAGGAUCCCGCGUUGCCUUGAGCUGUGGUGUAGGCUGCAGAUGCAGCUCAGAUCUGGCGUUGCUGUGGUUGUGCUGUAGGCUGGCAGAUGCAGGUCCGAUUCGACUCCUAGCCUGGGAACUUCCAUAUGCCAUGGGUACAGCCCUAAAAAGUCCAAAAAACUGAAAAUAAAAAAUUAAAUCAUUGGCCAUUUUACAUCUCUGAAGCUGUAGUGAUACAUUUGGCGCCAAUUCUCUCUGGACAUGGGAGGCUGCAGCAUUGGGUGGGAGGGCUGAUACAGAGUGCAUUUGACCUUAAAUGCCCUGGAUGGAGGAAGAGGAGGAUGCUUGGAAAGAUAACAUUGUCUCCAUUUGAUGUUCUAGGACAUGUGCAUGGAAUUGAAACAACCCAUUUUGCAGGCAAGAAGCUAUAGAUGCAAAUGCCAGGCCUGGGGAAAACUGGACCCUGGGGAAGGAUGGAAGGCACUGGGGCUUGCCCUCACAGGCCCUCCCACUAUGGGGCCACCAGCCUGCUCCACGCAGAGCCUUCUCCGGGUUCCCUGGGGGACCUCUUGGAGGAGUGCAGCAGGAAGACUAUCGAUUGGCUCGGGACAUAAAAUAGACUAUUGACGGUAUCUCAGAGAUACCCCCAACAGGAUGGAAAAGAAAGGACUCACCCACAACUUUAAUGGCCAAAUAUAAAACACUGAAAUGUGCUCUGCUGGUUGUAACAUUCUCUUGGCAUUUCUUCAUUUAUUACUACGCUGGAAGCCUCAAAAAAAUGGAAGAGACCCAGCUCUGGGGACCUCUGAGAGGCCCUGGCUACCAGGAAGUCACGUGGUGUAUUAGGAGAAGGCAAGGCAUUUACAAAACCCUCAGCUGCUUUCUGCAGGAGAAAGCUGGGCCUCUAGACUCCCAGUCACCAGAGUGCAUUGCCAAACGCAAAGCCAGCACAAAACAGAUGAAACUACAGAGACCUUUGACUGGCAUCUUUAUCCUGAUGCCUCAAAAAGGAGCCAUGAUGAUGAUGAUUCAAGGUGCUUCCUUCCAGAUCCUUAAAGAGACACACACACUCAGAAUAAAUGAUGUUAUUUUCCGUGUUUUUCUUACUUAUGUGGUAUAAGAUUAUACACAUCCUAAAAAUUGCUUUAUUCAUUCCACAGUAUUUUGAGACUUAUCCAUGUGGCUUCAUAUAGAUUUAUUUCAAUACUCCUGGCUGCUGAUGGUACUCCAUCAUUUGAAACCACUACUUUUAUUUACCCAUAUCCCUCCUGACGUUCAGUAUUUGUCUGUGGCUGAUCCGAUGCAUUCUUCCAGCCCACUUAAGCAUUCCCUUCUUAGAAGUCUGACGGCACUUUAUUCUCCUUAGUUGUUCCACAUAUGUGUGGUCUGUUUCCCGGACGAGAAAGUUAAACUUCUAAGAGCAACUUCUAUGUCCGGCAUCUAAUCGAAUCAUUGCAUCUAUGUAAUACUCUGGUGAAUGACGAACUUUGGACUGUUGGCUCUCUCGGAGAGCUGAAGAGCAGCUCUGGACUCCCAGAGGUUCAACAAAUUCUAUCUAGUUAUUUAUUUCCUCUUGGUUUCUUAAAAGAGAAGUGCUGUAUUUUCAAAACAGGUUCAACUAAAAUUCACUUCCUUUCUUCAUCUAGAUUCGUGGCGGUGAGCAUCUCCUUAAAAUGUUCCAAAUCCGAACACCGGUGAUACCAUAAACGUUUCACCUUUAAAAGAUGAGACAGAGACAGACAGACAGACAGACGGACAGCAAUACAGAAAGAGAGAGCGAGAGAAAGAGAAGGAGGAGGGGGAAGAGAAAAAGGAGGAAGACUGAAAGGAUCCCCACCCCUCCGAAGGGCGGGGCCUGUGGCCCCUGCUGGCCUGGAGGCAAAGUCGGGCACAAAGGGCUGAUUCUCUUUGCAAAUGAAAUCUGGAUAACACACCCUCUCCCUUCUUUUCCUUGAAAAGUCUUCCCCUGCCACUUUUACUGUCAACUUUUAGGUUGCUCUUGUCAGAAUCAGUUUUCAUUUCUUUCCCUGGAAACUUUAUUCUCUGCCUCUUUCGGCUUCCUAAAGAAUUGGUUUGUUAAAGUUUUUAAUUGUUCGCGCUUUUUCUAGGGACAAUGAAGAAAGCGCAGAGUCUCCACAUCCACUCACCAGAAAUCCUCCAGAUCAUUCAACCCGACUCACAAUCAUGGCCGAAAGAGCUGCUUGGAAACUGUGAAAACCUUGCCAAAGGGACUCGCCCACUGCAUUGUUUGUUGGAGGAAAGGAGAAGGUGGGGACAUAGAAAAGCUGUGGAGGCACCCAGGUAUUCGGGGACCUCUCUGUAUUUGCGUUAGACCAUUUUUUCAUCUUGUGAAGUCAUUUUAACUCUUUCCUAGUCCAAGACACCAGCUUUUGGCUUUUUCGAGUCUGAUCCCUUUGCUCUGGCCAGGGUCCCCUUCCCCCGUGCCCCCCAAAUGCACCUACGCUUAUAUACAUGCCAUUCUGCAAAGAAUUUCCAGGAAGCCACAAAUCUCCUGAGACUAGAGAAGCCCAGGUAGAGAAGAUCUAAAAUAAGGUGAAAUUGCCAAGAAUCCAGAUGUUGGCAGAAACAGUAACAGUGACAGGCACUACAUGCACUGAUAGGAGCUACAAAAUAAAACCAAUCUCUGUAUGUGGGUGUUGGAGCCUAUUUGGGUUUGAUCCUGAGUUGGUCUUUUCAGACACACCUAUAUUUCCAUCACAGUUAGCAGGAUGAUCCAUACAUGCUCAGUGUGCCACCAUCUUUGAAUGCAAAGAAUGACUCUGGGUCGGGAAGAUGACAUGCUGGACAGGCAAAAGGCCGCACUGAUCAUGAGGAGAUGUGAUCAAAAUAUCAUCAAAAAUAUCUACAUCUGCAGCAAGUGCUAGAAAUAAGUGAAUAAGCGAUCUUGCCUUUCAGCACCCCUCACCUCAACUUCUCACCACAUCCUUGGCAUCAUUUCUUUCGGUAGCUUCUCUAUCCUACUUCAACGUCAAAGACUUCUUCAUGUGUCAUUGUCCUUAGAUCUAAUCUCUUCCAAACUCUUAGCUAUUCCCCAAACCAUACAGAUUACUGUCAUCAGAGUAACAUUUCCCAUUUACAGAGUGACUCCUAUGUGUCAACUAUGCAUGUAGCACCAAAAAUAUACUAUGCAUGUGUAUGAAAUCCAUGCAAUAACUCUGCUAGGCAGAUAGCAGUAUUUCCAUUUAAAGAGGAAAAACUUGAGGUUCAAAGAGCAGUGUCUUACUAAUGUUUCCAGAGCAAGGACCUGGCAGAACUGGGUUUAUCCUUAAUUCCAUGUGACUGCAAAUUCUCUCAGUCUUGUUGGCUCAUGCCACCAUCAUGUUUUUUCCAGAAAAUUCUUAAGAUUACGGAAUUCUCAGUUUAGAUGUUCUCAGCCUUCUUUGGCUCAUAGAAUAUUUGAGGAGAAAGGGAUCAGAGGCAAUCUUGUCUGACACACACACUUAACAAGUAAGGAAACUGACACUCACCUAGGAUGGGUUACUGGUCCAACCACGACCUUCCCUUUUCUAGUUCUCGAGGAGGCAGGAACCACAUCCUUUGGGAAGUUAUUUCCUGCUUCUCCUAGCAUAGCUCUAAGUGCACCAAACGUCUGUAGGUGGACAUUUGAUGACCAUUCCAAAAGGAGCAGAAACUCAAGUCCAGAACACCCGAACGACCGGCGCAAAGGAGGGCCAGACUCAGGUGGCAUCUACCUCAAAGGGACUUAACAAUCCAAGGUGUGCCCCUUCCUACCUCACCACCCCCCAGAAGAAGCCAAGAUAUUCCCUGGUCUUUGAAGCUAGUGUAGCAGUGAAAACAAGACAUGUAAAAUCACAGCGAAGGCAGCCCCCAAACCAGCACCUGCAUCCUAAAACCACUUCUACAGACAGCAGUGACAUGCAGCCCAAUUCAGCAGAUAAUGGCAAAGCCCUUCUCUUUCAGUCUGUGGUAGCUGGAAUGAGGAGGGAGAGGACAAGUCAGAGCUUGAAAGCUUGCUUUUAGGUUUGUUAUCAAGAACAACAAGUGACUGCCAUACUUCGAAUGUAUUUAAAAGUCCUGAAUCACAUAACUAGUCUGCCUUGCAUGGUCCUUGAAAAUGCAAAAAUAGAAAUGAAAGAAAUUAUCUAAGAGCAGCAAAGCAGGGAAACAGAGAUUAGCAUGAGAUUAGGAGUGCGGGCUGCGAUUCAUUAUUACCGAUGCUUAUAAACACUUGCUGUCUGACAGUAGUUGACAAGCCCUGCUAAGGACAGAGUAAUAAACAUGGU
rnacentral:lncRNA from 1 species